rnacentral:ncRNA from 1 species
UUUAUAUUUAAAGAACUUGGUUCUAAUUUUUGGUUUUAAGUAUGGAAAGGAUUAUAUAUGUAAGCUAUUUUAGCGUGACGGUGAGGAAACAUUUUAAUUAAAAAGAUACUUAAAAAGAAUUUUUUAAAAAAAUUUGUUUACAUUAAUUGAUUUUUGUAAAAAAAUAAUGGUUAUUUUGUUAGUUCACAUCUGCAGUAAUAAAUACUUAAACCAUAAUUGGAAGAUUGAUUAGGUUAAAUCUAUUUUGAGAUGGCGAAGAUAUCGUGCCAGCAGCCGCGGUUAAACGAACAUUCUCUUCUUAAUUCAUUAGUAGCUUAAAAAAUAGUAGUUGCUUUAAGAGAUUAAUCAAAAAGAAAAGUUUAGGAGUGAAAACCUAUUUUUCUUAGAAAAAAUCUUUCUAAUGUUUAUUUAUUAAAUUAAAGAUAUAGACCUGGAUUAGAUACCCAGUUAUUCUUUAAUAAAAUCAAAAAUGCUGGUGGAAUACGGAUAAAGAAAUUUAAAAUACAAAGGACUUGGCGGUUAUCUAUUUCUGAUCAGGGGAGCUUGCUUGAAGAAAAUGAUAAUCCACAUUAAACCUUACCUACUAUUGUAAUUUCAGUUUUUAUAUCAUCGUCAUUAAGUUUUCACCGUAAGUUAGAAGACUUUCAACUAAUAAAAAGUUAGAUGUCAGAUCGAGAUGGAGCUAAUGAGUAGGAGAGAGUGAGCUACAGUAAUUAUUAAUUAAUUAUGGAAAGGGAAAUAAAAGUUUCCAAAGAAAAAGGACUUGAUAGUAAUAAAAUAGAAGAAAAAUUUUAUGAAAAUAGCUCUAGGUUUCGUACACAUCGCCCGUCACCUGCGGGGAUUAAACCUGGAGUAAGUCGUAACAUAGUAGGCGUACCGGAAGGUGCGGCCUAG